CGAAAUUGUCAAAAACAGAAAUUGUUUGCUGGGUAGAUAGAUAAAGUUCUGUCUAAAACAGAAAAAGUAUAGCAUUGUUGAAUUUCCUGACGGGUUACAAAUAGUUCUAUCUUGUUGGAUUAAUACACAUCAGAAUGAAAGUAUUUGGCCAAACCAUGUUAAAUCUCAAUAUACUUUGGAUAAAUUACUUACAAAAGGAGAGCUUCCGUCAAAGAUUGAUACAUGGAAUACUUGUAAAAUAAAGAGAAUUUUUGGCUCAGCAGAUACUUGGGAACGAGCUCAGGAAAAAUUAACAGAUGCAAUGGAUACAUCAACUGUCUUCGAUUCUGAAGAUUUCAAUGAAGAAGAAUGGAGAUUACAAAUGAAAAAACACAGAAGAGAUAACGCGAGAAGAAUUUAUAGCAACGGAUCUUCAGAUGAAGACAACAGAUUUUCAGAAGAAGAAUGUACAAUUCGUCGUCGUCGUAAAGCACCAAACGAUGAAUGUCAUUAUGAAAAAAAAGUCAAAAGAUUAUCUAACCAAAGUAACAGUCUUUUACAAUUGCCAUUACUACCCAAGCAACCAAUUUCACUUUCAUCGCCAUUACCUGGUGUUUCCAAUUCGCACAUAGCUUCCACGUCAAAACUUGAUAAAUCUCUGAGCAACAUACAAAUAAGUAAAUGAAUGAAUAGUAAAGGCUCGUGAAAUUGUCAAACUAAGAAUGAAACAAGGCCGAUACGAGCCAUUCCCAGGAUGUUGUGCAGGAAUA